UGUGGGAGCGAGCUUGCUCGCGAUAGCGGUGGAUCAGUCGACAUCAUGGGUGAAUGUUCGGUAGCCAUCGCGAGCAAGCUCGCUCCCACA
rnacentral:misc_RNA from 1 species